GCCCGUACCCUAAACCGACUCAGGUGGUCAGGUAGAGUAUACCGAGGCGUUCGAGUGAAUCGUGGUUAAGGAACUCGGCAAAAUUCCUCCGUAACUUCGGGAUAAGGAGGACCCCGUGACUUCCCAAUGCUUUGCGUGUUGGUGGGGUUGUGGGGUCGCAGAGAAUAGGGAGAAGCGACUGUUUAUCAAAAACACAGGUGCGUGCGAAGCCGUAAGGCGAUGUAUACGCACUGACGCCUGCCCGGUGCUGGAAGGUUAAGAGGAACCGUCAACACCCCUUGUGGGUGUGAAGCGGUGAAUUUAAGCCCCAGUAAACGGCGGUGGUAACUAUAACCAUCCUAAGGUAGCGAAAUUCCUUGUCGGGUAAGUUCCGACCUGCACGAAUGGCGUAACGACUUCUCCGCUGUCUCAACCGCGAACUCGGUGAAAUUGCAGUACGAGUAAAGAUGCUCGUUUCGCGCAGAAGGACGGAAAGACCCCGGGACCUUUACUAUAGCUUGGUAUUGGUGUUCGCUUGGACUUGUGUAGGAUAGGUGGGAGACUGUGAAGCUGCCGCGCCAGCGGUGGUGGAGUCGUCGUUGAAAUACCAUUCUGGUUUAAGCGGUCACCUUAACCUUGGCCCGUGAUCCGGGUUGGGGACAGUGCCUGGUGGGUAGUUUAACUGGGGCGGUUGCCUCCUAAAAUGUAACGGAGGCGCUCAAAGGUUCCCUCAGCCUGGUUGGUAAUCAGGUGGCGAGUGCAAGUGUACAAGGGAGCUUGACUGUGAGACCGACGGGUCGAGCAGGUGCGAAAGCAGGAACUAGUGAUCCGGCCAUGGCACGUGGGUGCGUGGUCGCUCAACGGAUAAAAGGUACCCCGGGGAUAACAGGCUGAUCUUGCCCAAGAGUCCAUAUCGACGGCAUGGUUUGGCACCUCGAUGUCGGCUCGUCGCAUCCUGGGGCUGGAGUCGGUCCCAAGGGUUGGGCUGUUCGCCCAUUAAAGCGGUACGCGAGCUGGGUUCAGAACGUCGUGAGACAGUUCGGUCCCUAUCCUCUGUGCGCGCAGGAAAUUUGAGGAGGGCCGUCCCUAGUACGAGAGGACCGGGAUGGACGAACCUCUGGUGUGCCAGUUGUACCGCCAGGUGCAUGGCUGGUUAGCUACGUUCGGAAGGGAUAACCGCUGAAAGCAUCUAAGCGGGAAGCCUGCU
rnacentral:rRNA from 1 species